rnacentral:rRNA from 1 species
UUCUAACCGUAAACGAUGCCAACUAGCGAUCUGUGGGGCAUAUUUACAUGACCCCACAGGAAGCUUCCGGGAAACCAAAGUCUUUGGGUUCCGGGGGAAGUAUGGUUGCAAAGCUGAAACUUAAAGGAAUUGACGGAAGGGCACCACCAGGAGUGGAGCCUGCGGCUUAAUUUGACUCAACGCGGGAAAACUCACCCGGCCCGGACACCGUAAGGAUUGACAGAUUGAGAGCUCUUUCUUGAUUCGGUGGGUGGUGGUGCAUGGCCGUUCUUAGUUGGUGGAGUGAUUUGUCUGGUUAAUUCCGAUAACGAACGAGACUCUAGCCUACUAAAUAGUGGCUGAAUUUUUAGUUCAGCAUACUUCUUAGAGGGACAAGGGGUAUCUAGCCCCACGAGAUUGAGCAAUAACAGGUCUGUGAUGCCCUUAGAUGUCCGGGGCUGCACGCGCGCUACACUGAAGGAGUCAACAUGCAUUGAUACCUAGUCUGGAAAGACCGGGUAACCCAAUGAAACUCCUUCGUGAUUGGGAUAGGGAAUUGUAAUUAUUUCCCUUGAACGAGGAAUUCCUAGUAAAUGCGGGUCAUCAUCUCGCGUUG